CACAAGCAGCACACUUCUCUCCUUCAGAUUUUUCUUUUCUUUUCUUCCUUUUUCUCCUCUUUGUUCUCCCGCACAGAUCAGCCCUUCCCCUUUCUUUCUUUUCCCUUCUUUCUUCUUUCUCUCCUCGUGCGUUACCAUUCCUCUUCUCUUUGGCUUAGUUGGUGAACACCCGAGUGGGACCCGACUAGUGGGUCAACAACAGUAGAACCAGACGACGUCGGCGGGGCUGAGGUCGUGACUUCCGGUGUGUCGUCACCGGUGAACCUUGGAGACACGAUCUCCGGCGAUGUGAAGUGAUUUCCAACGAAAAUCGGUGGAGAUUUCCAGAUUUAGGGGUCUUAGAAUUCCAGAUUUAUGGGAUCAUGUUCGGAUUGCAGACUUUAAUUGGUUCUCCAAUGUAGAGUCCAAGUGACUAGAGUCCAAGGAGUGUUCGAGUUGGAGUCUAAUGCAGCCAAGAUGAUGUUUCUUUGGCUGCAGGUACUUCGGUACAGUCGAUGGGUCGGUAGCAGUGUGCUUGGGAUAUUAUGACUGAAGCUCACCGCGACGGUUGUAAUUGUCGGACCACGGGUUGUCCACUGUUUUAUAGGUUUGGUAUAGCUUGUGACGUUUGUGUCACAUAUUCUUUGUAAAGCUAUAGUAGUUUUGUAAAUAAUGUGUUAAUAAGACUCA